AGUGAACGCUGGCGGUAGGCCUAACACAUGCAAGUCGAACGGCAGCACAGUAAGCGCUUGCUCUUACGGGUGGCGAGUGGCGGACGGGUGAGGAAUACAUCGGAAUCUACUUUUUCGUGGGGGAUAACGUAGGGAAACUUACGCUAAUACCGCAUACGACCUACGGGUGAAAGCAGGGGAUCUUCGGACCUUGCGCGUUUGAAUGAGCCGAUGUCGGAUUAGCUAGUUGGCGGGGUAAAGGCCCACCAAGGCGACGAUCCGUAGCUGGUCUGAGAGGAUGAUCAGCCACACUGGAACUGAGACACGGUCCAGACUCCUACGGGAGGCAGCAGUGGGGAAUAUUGGACAAUGGGCGCAAGCCUGAUCCAGCCAUACCGCGUGGGUGAAGAAGGCCUUCGGGUUGUAAAGCCCUUUUGUUGGGAAAGAAAAGCAGCAGGUUAAUACCCCGCUGUUCUGACGGUACCCAAAGAAUAAGCACCGGCUAACUUCGUG
rnacentral:rRNA from 1 species